rnacentral:rRNA from 1 species
UACAGAGGGUGCAAGCGUUGUCCGGAAUCACUGGGCGUAAAGGGCGCGUAGGCGGCCUGAUAAGUCGGGGGUGAAAUUCUGCGGCUCAACCGCAGGACGGCCUUCGAGACUGUCAGGCUUGAGCGCGGUAGAGGCUGGUGGAAUUCCCGGUGUAGCGGUGGAAUGCGUAGAGAUCGGGAAGAACAUCGGUGGCGAAGGCGGCCAGCUGGGCCGCUGCUGACGCUGAGGCGCGACAGCGUGGGGAGCAAACAGG